GAUGAAGAACGCAGUGAAAUGCGAUACGUAAUGUGAAUUGCAGAAUUCAGUGAAUCAUCGAGUCUUUGAACGCACAUUGCGCCCCCUGGUAUUCCGGGGGGCAUGCCUGUCCGAGCGUCAUUGCUGCCCUCAAGCACGGCUUGUGUGUUGGGCCUCCGUCCUCCUCCCGGGGGACGGGCCCGAAAGGCAGCGGCGGCACCGCGUCCGGUCCUCGAGCGUAUGGGGCUUCGUCACCCGCUCUUGUAGGCCCGGCCGGCGCUUGCCGACACAUCAAUCUUUUUUCCAGGUUGACCUCGGAUCAGGUAGGGAUGCCCGCUGAACUUAAGCAUAUCAAUAAGCGGAGGA
rnacentral:misc_RNA from 1 species